rnacentral:rRNA from 1 species
GAAAGGCGAAAAGAACCCCGGCGAGGGGAGUGAAAAAGAACCUGAAACCGUGUACGUACAAGCAGUAGGAGCCCACUUGUUGGGUGACUGCGUACCUUUUGUAUAAUGGGUCAGCGACUUAUAUUCUGUAGCAAGGUUAACCGUAUAGGGGAGCCGCAGGGAAACCGAGUCUUAACUGGGCGUUAAGUUGCAGGGUAUAGACCCGAAACCCGGUGAUCUAGCCAUGGGCAGGUUGAAGGUUGGGUAACACUAACUGGAGGACCGAACCGACUAAUGUUGAAAAAUUAGCGGAUGACUUGUGGCUGGGGGUGAAAGGCCAAUCAAACCGGGAGAUAGCUGGUUCUCCCCGAAAGCUAUUUAGGUAGCGCCUCGUGAACUCAUCUUCGGGGGUAGAGCACUGUUUCGGCUAGGGGGUCAUCCCGACUUACCAACCCGAUGCAAACUACGAAUACCGAAGAAUGUUAUCACGGGAGACACACGGCGGGUGCUAACGUCCGUCGUGAAGAGGGAAACAACCCAGACCGCCAGCUAAGGUCCCAAAGUCAUGGUUAAGUGGGAAACGAUGUGGGAAGGCCCAGACAGCCAGGAUGUUGGCUUAGAAGCAGCCAUCAUUUAAAGAAAGCGUAAUAGCUCACUGGUCGAGUCGGCCUGCGCGGAAGAUGUAACGGGGCUAAACCAUGCACCGAAGCUGCGGCAGCGACGCUUAUGCGUUGUUGGGUAGGGGAGCGUUCUGUAAGCCGUUGAAGGUGGCCUGUGAGGGUUGCUGGAGGUAUCAGAAGUGCGAAUGCUGACAUAAGUAACGAUAAUGCGGGUGAAAAACCCGCACGCCGGAAGACCAAGGGUUCCUGUCCAACGUUAAUCGGGGCAGGGUGAGUCGACCCCUAAGGCGAGGCCGAAAGGCGUAGUCGAUGGGAAACAGGUUAAUAUUCCUGUACUCGGUGUUACUGCGAAGGGGGGACGGAGAAGGCUAUGUUGGCCGGGCGACGGUUGUCCCGGUUUAAGCAUGUAGGCGGAUGUUCCAGGUAAAUCCGGAACGUUA